GUUGGUUUCACCCGAAGGYAGUGCGCUAACCGCAAGGAGGCAGCURACCACGGUGGGAUCAGCGGCUGGGGUGAAGUCGUAACAAGGUAGCCGUAGGUGAACCUGCAGAAGGAUCA
rnacentral:rRNA from 1 species